rnacentral:rRNA from 1 species
AUUGAACGCUGGCGGCAGGCCUAACACAUGCAAGUCGAGCGGAUGAAGGGAGCUUGCUCCUGGAUUCAGCGGCGGACGGGUGAGUAAUGCCUAGGAAUCUGCCUGGUAGUGGGGGAUAACGUCCGGAAACGGGCGCUAAUACCGCAUACGUCCUGAGGGAGAAAGUAGGGGAUCUUCGGACCUCACGCUAUCAGAUGAGCCUAGGUCGGAUUAGCUAGUUGGUGGGGUAAAGGCCUACCAAGGCGACGAUCCGUAACUGGUCUGAGAGGAUGAUCAGUCGCACUGGAACUGAGACACGGUCCAGACUCCUACGGGAGGCAGCAGUGGGGAAUAUUGGACAAAGGGCGAAAGCCUGAUCCAGCCAUGCCGCGUGUGUGAAGAAGGUCUUCGGAUUGUAAAGCACUUUAAGUUGGGAGGAAGGGCAGUAAGUUAAUACCUUGCUGUUUUGACGUUACCAACAGAAUAAGCACCGGCUAACUUCGUG